rnacentral:rRNA from 1 species
GUGAGGAAUAUUGGUCAAUGGGCGAGAGCCUGAACCAGCCAAGUCGCGUGAAGGAAGAAGGAUCUAUGGUUCGUAAACUUCUUUUGCAGGGGAAUAAAGUGUAGGACGUGUCCUGUUUUGUAUGUACCCUGAGAAUAAGGAUCGGCUAACUCCGUGCCAGCAGCCGCGGUAAUACGGAGGAUCCGAGCGUUAUCCGGAUUUAUUGGGUUUAAAGGGUGCGUAGGUGGUUUGAUAAGUCAGCGGUGAAAGUUUGCAGCUUAACUGUAAAAAUGCCGUUGAAACUGUCGGACUUGAGUGUAAAUGAGGUAGGCGGAAUGCGUGGUGUAGCGGUGAAAUGCACAGAUAUCACGCAGAACUCCGAUUGCGAAGGCAGCUUACUAAGCUACAACUGACACUGAAGCACGAAAGCGUGGGGAUCAAACAGGAUUAGAAACCCUUGUAGUCC